AGAAACUCAUCACGGACCUGUGCAGUCAAAUUCUCUGAUCCAGAGAACCCACCAGAGUUGGCAGACUCUAGUCUGCCCCUAGAGUACUUACUCUAGGGGCAGAGUAAGUACUUGGCCAUCAUGGUGAACAACAGUCACAGUCCCUGUCCUUCAUGGGGCUCAUGGUCUAGAGGAGGGGACAGACAUUAAGCAAGUAAGGAAACCAGUGGGACACAUAAUUACAAAGUGUACUGAAUGCUAUGAAGAACAAGGUAAUGUGGGAGAAAAAGACUUGUGGGCAAGGGACUUACUUUAGAAUGUGUAGUCAAAAGGCCCCCAAUUAACGCUAAAACAGAACUGACUGAGGCAGCCAGGUCACAAGUCAGGAGAAAAGCAUGUGCAAAGGCUGUGUGAAUGGAAGGGAAAAAAUAUCUCUGUGAAUGCAAAAGAGAGAGUGAGGUAGAAAGUGGCUCAUGAUAUAGCUGGAGAUGGAAGCAAGGGAUAGAUGACCCGGGGCCCUGAGGCUGUGUUAAAAGUUGAACUUUAUCCUCAGUGUAAUUGGGGCAAUAUUAGUGGGUUUAAGAAAAGGAAUCACAUGGCUCAAUGCUCUAUUCUGGUCACUCUGGCGACCACAUGGAGAAUGGAACACUGGGGAGCAGCAUGGGAACAAGAGACCAGUCCUCCGGUUUAAGAGGACCUCCUCAAGGCUUUCAUCUGGUUCCUGCUGGACUGGGGAGAAGACGUGGGAAGCUCUUGACCUGACCCUGGCCUCUGCUCCUUUAUCCUGUGCUAUUUCCUGUCUCCUGUUUUCUCUGCGGGAGCCAAUCUUGUUCACAUAUUUCAAAAAGUGGGAGCCUUCGCAGAGAGGGAGUGUGGAACCCGGGACAACGGGGGAGGGUAAGAAGGAACACAGCCCACUUUAUAUGUAAAUAGAACGUUAACUAUCAGAAAUCAUUGUGGUAAUCAUAAACUUAACAUGCUGGAGUGUGAUUUUUCAGGCAUUUUGAAACACUUGAAAACCACUUAGCUCAAACACAGAACAACCCAGAAAGAAAGGGCAGCUGCCUCCACAGCAUUUCCUAACUUGUAACGUACUUUUGCAGACAUGAUUUCACUUCCUAUUAACCUUUGGUAAAUUCAAGUCCUCCACUGUGACCAAAGCAGCUCCCCAAAUUUACCCCAAAGCAACUGCAAGAUGAAAAAUAGACCUCACCCCGACUUAUCUCUUUUACCAGCUCCGUUCCUUUGGUAGCAGAAAUAUGGCACCCAUGGUAAGUAGAGUCGCAAGGAUCUGUCUGGGCUCCACAGUCCUGUCCUGGGCAAUGGGAGUACCAAUGACCUUGGCUGCGGGCACAGGAUACAGGGGUGUUGUAUCCUGCGGACAUCUGCCAACCCUACUCCAACCUAGCCCAGCACCUUGAUGCAUAGCAGUAAAGGGCCACUUCCGCUUCGAUGUGGAAGGCAGUUUUGCUGAGUGGCCUUGCAGUUCAAAGGUAAAUACACUUGCUCUCCAAUUCAUCCCAGAACGCUCUCUCUUUUUUUUUUAAGAUGUUAUUUACCUUACCCAGAGAGAGACUGAGCACAAGCAAGGGGAGCAGUAGGCAAAAGGAGAAGGAGGAGCAGGCUCUCUGCUGAGCAGCUGGACUUGAUCAUGGACCCCAGGAUUAUGACCCGAGUCAAAGGCAGAUGCUUAACCAACUGAGCCACCCAGGUGCCCCCAUUCCAGGACUCUUUAACCCACGUGUGUGUCUGCAUCUGAGUUUGUACACAGAAGAAAAAAAAAUCUGUUUAUUUGCAAAAGGCCCACCUUAAAUACAAGCAGGCACUCAUGGGUAUUAUCAGAGCUCCUACUCCUAGCCUGAGACAGCUAGCUAGUAAGGGACACAGCUAGGAUUUGGAUCUGGUAUAUCGUGUGAUUAACUUAACUGCUACACGGAGCUGGGAACUGAGUACCAUUAGCAGUCAGGCAGACCACGUAAAUGCGUGAAAUGCUGGGUGGAACAAACUAGAGAGUAGGAAGAGUGGGCAAAUAGAUUCUGCGUGCCAAUCUGCAGGCACUCAACAAACUGCUUUCGUUCUUCAAAAAAAAAAAAAAAAAAAUCUGUUAGACACCUGUCAACAGCCAAUAUACUGUUAGUGUAAAAUACCACUAACUGCCACAUUUGAAAGCAUUUUGAC
rnacentral:lncRNA from 1 species